rnacentral:tRNA from 1 species
UCCCCGAUAGCUCAAUGGUAGAGCACCCGGCUGUUAACCGGGGGGUUACUGGUUCGAGUCCAGUUCGGGGAGCCA